rnacentral:pre_miRNA from 1 species
UCUUAUGGAUGAGCAAAGAAAGUGGUUUCUUAGGAUGGAAUCUACUCCUAGUAAAGAUGCAUUGUUGAA